GACGAACGCUGGCGGCGUGCUUAACACAUGCAAGUCGAACGGAAAGGCCCUGCUUUUGUGGGGUGCUCGAGUGGCGAACGGGUGAGUAACACGUGAGUAACCUGCCCUUGUCUUUGGGAUAACUUCAGGAAACUGGGGCUCAUACCGGGUAUGAGCUCCUGCUGCAUGGUGUUGGUUAGAAAGUUUCGGCGGUGGGGGAUGGACUCGCGGCUUAUCAGCUUGUUGGUGGGGUAGUGGCUUACCAAGGCUUUGACGGGUAGCCGGCCUGAGAGGGUGACCGGCCACAUUGGGACUGAGAUACGGACCAGAAUCCUACGGGAGGCAGCAGUGGGGAAUAUUGCACAAUGGGCGGAAGCCUGAUGCAGCAACGCCGCGUGCGGGAUGACGGCCUUCGGGUUGUAAACCGCUUUCGCCUGUGACGAAGCGUGAGUGACGGUAAUGGGUAAAGAAGCACCGGCUAACUACGUG
rnacentral:rRNA from 1 species